rnacentral:rRNA from 1 species
AUUGAACGCUGGCGGCAGGCCUAACACAUGCAAGUCGAGCGGAGCGGCGGACGGGUGAGUAAUGCCUAGGAACCUACCUAUUAGAGGGGGAUAACAGUUGGAAACGACUGCUAAUACCGCAUACUGAAGGAGGGGAUUGCGUCUGAUUAGCUAGUUGGAGGGGUAACGGCCCACCAAGGCGAUGAUCAGUAGCCGGUCUGAGAGGAUGAACGGCCACAUUGGGACUGAGACACGGCCCAGACUCCUACGGGAGGCAGCAGUGGGGAAUAUUGGACAAUGGGCGAAAGCCUGAUCCAGCCAUGCCGCGUGUGUGAAGAAGGUCUUCGGAUUGUAAAGCACUUUAAGUUGGGAGGCGUUACCAACAGAAUAAGCACCGGCUAACUUCGUGCCAGCCGCCGCGGUAAUUC